GACGGAAAGACCCCGUGCACCUUUACUACAGCUUCACAGUGAUCGUCGGUUCAGUACGUGUAGGAUAGCUGGGAGACUUUGAAGCCGGCUCGCCAGAGUCGGUGGAGUCAACCUUGAAAUACCAGCCUUAUUGUAUUGCCGAUCUAACCUGGGCCCGUUAGCCGGGUCGGGGACACUGUGUGGUGGGUAGUUUGACUGGGGCGGUCCCCUCCUAAAAGGUAACGGAGGCG
rnacentral:rRNA from 1 species